rnacentral:rRNA from 1 species
GGUAUGGGAUGAGCUUGCGUCCGAUUAGCUAGUUGGCGGGGCAACGGCCCACCAAGGUGACGAUCGGUAGCCGGCCUGAGAGGGUGAUCGGCCACAUUGGGACUGAGAUACGGCCCAGACUCCUACGGGAGGCAGCAGUAGGGAAUAUUGCACAAUGGGGGGAAACCCUGAUGCAGCAACGCCACGUGUGGGAAGAACCAUUUCGGUGUGUAAACCACUGUCGUGAGGGAAUAAGGCAUUUUUUCGGAGAUGUUGAAUGUACCUCGAGAGGAAGCACCGGCAAACUUCGUGCCAGCAGCCGCGGUAAUACGAGGGGUGCAAGCGUUGUUCGGAAUCACUGGGCGUAAAGGGAGCGCAGGCGGAAGCUCAAGCGGAUUGUACAAUACCGGGGCCCAACCCCGGACCUGCAGUCCGAACUGGGUUUCUUGGAUAGUUCAGGUGCAGGC